GGGGCUGAGGAGAAACGGGGCCAUUUAUCCGCCCGUCUAGUUAAAGCGGGUUAUUUGUUUGCUUCUCCGGCCUCCCCCUCCCCUCCCCUCCCCUCCCCUCCCCCUCCCCUCCUCCCCCUCCUUCCCCUUCUGCCUUUUAUUCUUUUGUCUCUAAAUGGAUUUAAUGAGCCUGAAAAACAUGACAAUUGAAUAUAACCAAGAAAUAAAAAAUAACGAGGGAGGAAGGAAGGAGGAAAGGAAGGAAGGAAAGAAGAAGGGGAAGGAUUAAUAAAAUGGAAAAAUCCGUUCAAUUCAGCAAAUGUUUAUCGUGCGUCUUUUUGCGCCAGGCCGCGCUGGGGGCUGGGAAAUUGAAACGAAACAGAUCCGAUUCCUGCCUUCAAGGAGCUCCCAGUCUAGCGGACGAGAGACCCGCCAUGUCCCUGGCGCGAACAGGAGAACUGGGCCGAGAGGCAGAGACGUGCCAUUUGCAGAACUAGGAGAGAUGUCAUCGGGCUCAGGGUGGUGGGGGCUUCACGGAGGAGAUGGCUUUGGACCCAGGCCUUGAAAAACGAGGAGGAAUUCGUUGUUUCUACAGGCCAGAAAGAAGGGCGGGCGAAGGAAAGACCGCACCGCCGUCGGAGGGAAGGGGAAAGAGGAGUAUGCUGGAGCCCCGGGCUGAGCCCGAGCCUGGAGGCCCGGGCAGGACGCUCCGUGCGCUCGGUCCCGCACAGUUCGAGGAACAGAUUUGAGCCGCCCCAUAGUCUCCUUGGCUCUGCUGGAUUCGAUGCCUCCGCCAGGCUGCCAGUAGCCUUCCCGAGCCCCACUGACAGCGCGCGUGGCCGUUGAGACCGGACUCCGCCUGACCGAGCACCGCGGCGUGGGGCUAGUUUCCUGGCCUCAUCGCGCAAAGAGGUGGCGGCCGUGGGCAAGGGCUGAGGGGCUUGACUGUAGGUGGGAGCGAGGGGCUGGGAUCCACGGAGGCCUAGGCUUCCAGCCCACUCUCUCUGCAGCUCUCCUGGCUCUUACGGGAGAUGCUACCCGCGCGCAGGCCAGGGCGCUCCGACGGCGUUGGCUGCACUCCAGGCGCUACGCGGGGACCUGUGAUGUGACAGGGCCUCGAAUCAAAGUGCCAGCCCCGAACCUCUUAACGGGCACCUGCCAGGCCUGCAUCAGGGUGAAUGGUGUUGUCCAACUCUCCAGCUUCUUGCAAGUCAAAAUGUGGUCCUGGGACCAAGAGCGCCAGCAUCACCUGGGAGCCAGUUCGAAAAGCGGAAGCUCAGACCUGCUGAGUCAGAAUCUGCAUUUUGACCAGAUUUCAUGGAGUGAUUCUCGUGCACAGUGGAGUUGCAGGAGUUCAACUCGAGAUCUCUCUCCGCCACCCACAGGUAAGGGAAAGCCCUUGCUGACCCUGUUUGUAGGAAGCCACUUCCUCAGGGACACUGGGGGCGGGGACGCUUGCUUCAUUCCAGCCGGCAGCCUCUCUGGUUCUCCUUCAAAUCUCCUGGGCCAUCUCCCUUCCAAACCUUUCCUCCCCUUCCAACCAGA
rnacentral:lncRNA from 1 species